rnacentral:rRNA from 1 species
UACAGAGGGGGCAAGCGUUGUUCGGAAUUACUGGGCGUAAAGGGCGCGUAGGCGGCCUGCUAAGUCGAACGUGAAAUCCCCGGGCUCAACCCGGGAACUGCGUCCGAUACUGGCAGGCUUGAAUUCGGGAGAGGGAUGCGGAAUUCCAGGUGUAGCGGUGAAAUGCGUAGAUAUCUGGAGGAACACCGGUGGCGAAGGCGGCAUCCUGGACCGAAAUUGACGCUGAGGCGCGAAAGCUAGGGGAGCAAACAGG